rnacentral:rRNA from 1 species
GCUUAACGCGAAGAACCUUACCCAGGCUUGACAUCCCUGGAAGGUCUCCGAAAGGAGACUGUGCCUUCGGGAAUCAGGUGACAGGUGCUGCAUGGCCGUCGUCAGCUCGUGUCGUGAGAUGUUUGGUUAAGUUCAUUAACGAGCGCAACCCUUGUAAGUAGUUGAAUUUUUCUACUUAGACCGCCUCGGUAACGGGGAGGAAGGAGGGGAUGAUGUCAGGUCAGUAUUGCCCUUACGCCUGGGGCUACAAACACGCUACAAUGGCCGGUACAAAGGGCGGCCAACCCGUGAGGGGGAGCAAAUCCCAUCAAAACCGGUCCCAGUUCGGAUAGCAGGCUGAAAUUCGCCUGCUUGAAGUCGGAAUCGCUAGUAACGGUGAGUCAGCUAUAUUACCGUGAAUACGUUCCCGGGUCUUGUACACACCG